rnacentral:rRNA from 1 species
AGCAGUAGCCGCGGUAAUACAGAGGGUGCAAGCGUUAAUCGGAUUUACUGGGCGUAAAGCGUGCGCAGGCGGUUUGUUAAGUCUGCUGUGAAAUCCCCGGGCUCAACCUGGGAAUGGCAGUGGAUACUGGCAAGCUAGAGUGUGUCAGAGGAUGGUGGAAUUCCCGGUGUAGCGGUGAAAUGCGUAGAGAUCGGGAGGAACAUCAGUGGCGAAGGCGGCCAUCUGGGACAACACUGACGCUGAGGCACGAAAGCGUGGGGAGCAAACAGGAUUAGAUACCCCCGUAGUCCCUGUCUCUUAUAC